GGAACAGAGAAGAGGGCAAGCUGAGCCUCAGUCCAGUUUCCUGGACUCCCUCCGGUAGGGAAGUGUCCCCUAAAUCUCCGUUCCCUCGCCCUCUGUCGCCCUCUAGUGCCCCCACGCUGCCAACACCCUUGUUUUUGUUCCUUUGGCUUUCAUUCUUUCAUCCACAAACCCUUCAGAGGCGGCUACACCAGUGUGGGGGUCGGGAUGCAGGGAAUAGACGCUGAGCCUGCCUCGGACUCUCAGGGCUUCGGAGAGGGAUAGAUAUGUCUACGAGCGUCCUUCUGCGACGAGAGUCUGGAGCCCCAAGCAGGUGCCCAGAGGAAUGCAGAGGAGGUGGCAGCAGGUACAUCCGGGCAUCUGCACAGCUCCACGGAGUAGGACGUGGCCAAGCGGAUGGGGAGGGCCUGCGCAAUGAACUCACUCGAGCUGUGAAGAUGGAGAGGCCUGGGAGGCGUCUUUGACAGCUAUGGACUGAGAUCUCAUGUAGCAUAGGCUGGCUUGGAAUUAGAAUUCAGUAUGCAGCGCCAGAUGACCUUAGACUCAGACCUUGGACUCAAGAUCCUCCAACUGCCACCUCUUAAGUGCUGGGAUUACUAACAUGCACCACCAUGCCCAGCUUGUUUUAUUUUUAGACAAAGUUUCACAAGACUUCCUUGAACUUAAGAUCCUCUUGCCUCAGUCUCCUGAAUGCUGGGAUUACAGGUGUGUACUAUGUUUGGUAUAAUCUCAAUUUUUAGCAUUAAACAUGACACUAAAUCCUUGAUACUGUUGAUUGAGGAAUGAGGGAUUAGCCUCACUAAGGGCCAAUCAGGGAGUUCCAGGUGCUAGAGGGAUCUGAACUGAGUUCAUUCAGCUGUCUCUUUGGCUCCUUCAGGGUAUCUUACUGUCACAGAUAAUAAAACAUGAUUGCAUUUG